GACGUAGGGUGCAAGCGUUGUCCGGAUUUAUUGGGCGUAAAGAGCUCGUAGGCGGCUCGUCGCGUCGACCGUGAAAACCCGCAGCUUAACUGCGGGCCUGCGGUUGAUACGGGCGGGCUAGAGUUCGGUAGGGGAGACUGGAAUUCCUGGUGUAGCGGUGAAAUGCGCAGAUAUCAGGAGGAACACCGGUGGCGAAGGCGGGUCUCUGGGCCGAAACUGACGCUGAGGAGCGAAAGCGUGGGGAGCAAACAGG
rnacentral:rRNA from 1 species